AGCCACGCCGCGUGAGCGAUGAAGGCCUUCGGGUCGUAAAGCUCUGUGGGGAGAGAAGAAUAAAGCCUGUGAAGAAUGGGCCUUGACGGUAUCUCCUUAGCAAGCACCGGCUAACUCCGUGCCAGCAGCCGCGGUAAUACGGAGGGUGCAAACGUUGCUCGGAAUCAUUGGGCGUAAAAGCGCACGUAGGCGGCGAAGCAAGUCGGGUGUGAAAGCCCUGGGCUCAACCCAGGAAGUGCAUUCGAAAACUAUUUCGCUUGAAUCUCGGAGGGGGUCAGAGAAUUCCCGGUGUAGAGGUGAAAUUCGUAGAUAUCGGGAGGAAUACCAGUGGCGAAGGCGCUGACCUGGACGAAGAUUGACGCUGAGGUGCGAAAAGCGCGGGGGAGCAAACAGGAUUAGAUACCCUGGUAGUCCGCGCUGUAAACGAUGAGUGCUAGACGGUGGAGGUAUUGACCCCUUCGCUGCCGAAGCUAACGCGUUAAGCACUCCGCCUGGGGAGUACGGUCGCAAGACU
rnacentral:rRNA from 1 species